UCGCUAGAAAAACUGUACCAUCAUAGCUUA
rnacentral:piRNA from 1 species